UACGUAGGGUGCGAGCGUUGUCCGGAAUUAUUGGGCGUAAAGAGCUUGUAGGCGGUUUGUCGCGUCUGCCGUGAAAAUCCGAGGCUCAACCUCGGACUUGCGGGUGGGUACGGGCAGACUAGAGUGUGGUAGGGGAGACUGGAAUUCCUGGUGUAGCGGUGAAAUGCGCAGAUAUCAGGAGGAACACCGAUGGCGAAGGCAGGUCUCUGGGCCGAUACUGACGCUGAGGAGCGAAGCGUGGGGAGCGAACAGG
rnacentral:rRNA from 1 species